rnacentral:rRNA from 1 species
CGGAGAGUGCGAACGUUGUUCGGAUUCACUGGGCGUAAAGGGCACGUAGGCGGCUUGGCGAAUCGGUCGUGGAAUCCCGACGCUUACCGUCGGAACGGCGGCCGAAAAUACCGAGCUCGAGGGCGUGAGGGGUCACUGGAACUCCUGGUGAAGCGGUGAAAUGCGUAGAUAUCAGGAGGAACGCCGGAGGCGAAAGCGAGUGACUGGCGCGUUCCUGACGCUGAGGUGCGAAAGCUAGGGGAGCAAACAGGAUUAGAUACCCUGGUAGUCCUAGCCGUAAACGAUGGACACUGAGUGGGGGAGGGCUUGCCUUUCCCUGCUGCAGCUAACGCGUUAAGUGUCCCGCCUGGGGAGUACGGCCGCAAGGUUA